rnacentral:lncRNA from 1 species
CCUUCAUAUCAUCAAAAACCAUUCGAAUAAAAACACAUAAUUGUACUCCGUUACUUAUUAACUGCAACAACCAAUUGCCCUAAAACUUCUAUAAACACGACAGCACUAUCUGCAGUAUGGUUCACAAACCUCCAAAAAGCCUCUUUUCGGCUAACGUUUUCGAUGUUAACUUAACAUCCUCUUCAGGCCGACAAAAACAUUCCAUAACGAAAUCAAAGACCUUUAGGCAUACUAAUGUAAUGUCCAAUAUAAUAUUUUGCUUCUCUGCUGUUAAUAAAUCAUUAAUAUCAGUCUUAUAUAAUUUCAAAUCUACAAUAUUUUAUCAUUUACUCAAUAAUGUAAAUGAUAUUAUUAAUGUUCUAGAAACUAUAAGACAAAAGCACCAUUUUUUCUUCUUCUAGAUUUAGAAAAAGAAAUCAAGAAAAAAUUCAAGUAAUU